rnacentral:rRNA from 1 species
AGUGAACGCUGGCGGCGUGCUUAACAUAUGCAAGUCGAACGAGAACGGGUUAUAGCUUGCUAUAAUUGUCAGCUAAGUGGCGCACGGGUGAGUAAUGUAUAGGUAAUAUGCCUCUUACUAAGGGAUAACAAAUGGAAACGUUUGCUAAUACCUUAUACUCCUUAUUAACAGAAGUUAAUAAGGGAAAGAUUUAUUGGUAAGAGAUUAGCCUGUAUUGUAUCAGUUAGUUGGUGGGGUAAUGGCUUACCAAGACUAUGACACAUAACUGGUUUGAGAGGAUGAUCAGUCACACUGGAACUGAGACACGGUCCAGACUCCUACGGGAGGCAGCAGUGGGGAAUAUUGCACAAUGGACGAAAGUCUGAUGCAGCAACGCCGCGUGGAGGAUGACACAUUUCGGUGCGUAAACUCCUUUUAUAUGAGAAGAUAAUGACGGUAUUAUAUGAAUAAGCACCGGCUAACUCCGUGCCAGCAGCCGCGGUAAUAC